CAGUAGCCGCGGUAAUACAGAGGGUGCGAGCGUUAAUCGGAUUUACUGGGCGUAAAGCGUGCGUAGGCGGCUUCUUAAGUCGGAUGUGAAAUCCCUGAGCUUAACUUAGGAAUUGCAUUCGAUACUGGGAAGCUAGAGUAUGGGAGAGGAUGGUAGAAUUCCAGGUGUAGCGGUGAAAUGCGUAGAGAUCUGGAGGAAUACCGAUGGCGAAGGCAGCCAUCUGGCCUAAUACUGACGCUGAGGUACGAAAGCAUGGGGAGCAAACAGGGUUAGAGACCCGAGUAGUCCCUGUCUCUUAUAC
rnacentral:rRNA from 1 species